rnacentral:tRNA from 1 species
GCCUGGGUGGCUCAGUCGGUUGAGCAUCCGACUUCGGCUCAGGUCACGAUCUCACAGCUCGUGGGUUCAAGCCCCGCGUUGGGCU